UACGUAGGGGGCAAGCGUUAUCCGGAUUUACUGGGUGUAAAGGGAGCGUAGACGGUUAUGCAAGUCUGAAGUGAAAGCCCAAGGCUCAACCAUGGGACUGCUUUGGAAACUGUAAAACUGGAGUGCAGGAGAGGUAAGCGGAAUUCCUAGUGUAGCGGUGAAAUGCGUAGAUAUUAGGAGGAACACCAGUGGCGAAGGCGGCUUACUGGACUGUAACUGACGUUGAGGCUCGAAGGCGUAGGGAGCAAACAGG
rnacentral:rRNA from 1 species